rnacentral:misc_RNA from 1 species
AAGUCGUAACAAGGUUUCCGUAGGUGAACCUGCGGAAGGAUCAUUAUUGAAAGAAACCUCAGGCAGGGGGAGGUGGUUGUAGCUGGCCCUUAGGGGCAUGUGCACACCGUUGUCUCUCUUGCUUGUUUCUUCAUUCUCUCCACUUGUGCACUGCUUGUAGGCAGCCCUGGCAUUGUUCAGGUUGUCUAUGAUUUUCUUUACAUACAUGAACACUUGUUGUACAGAAUGUGAUAAAAAAUAGUAAUACAACUUUCAACAACGGAUCUCUUGGCUCUC